rnacentral:rRNA from 1 species
UACGGGGGGAGCAAGCGUUGUCCGGAAUCAUUGGGCGUAAAGCGCGUGUAGGCGGCCCGGUAAGUCCGCUGUGAAAGUCCAGGGCUCAACCCUCGGAUGCCGGUGGAUACUGUCGGGCUUGAGUACGGAAGAGGCGAGUGGAAUUCCUGGUGUAGCGGUGAAAUGCGCAGAUAUCAGGAGGAACACCAAUUGCGAAGGCAGCUCGCUGGGACGUUACUGACGCUGAGACGCGAAAGCGUGGGGAGCAAACAGG